UACGGAGGGUGCAAGCGUUAUCCGGAUUCACUGGGUUUAAAGGGUGCGUAGGCGGUUUGGUAAGUCCGUGGUGAAAUCUCCGAGCUUAACUCGGAAACUGCCGUGGAUACUAUCAAUCUUGAAUAUCGUGGAGGUAAGCGGAAUAUGUCAUGUAGCGGUGAAAUGCUUAGAUAUGACAUAGAACACCAAUUGCGUAGGCAGCUUACUACACGAUCAUUGACGCUGAGGCACGAAAGCGUGGGGAGCAAACAGG
rnacentral:rRNA from 1 species